rnacentral:tRNA from 1 species
GCGGGCACGGUGUGCUGGCCGCGCACAGCGGGCUGUGGCCCCGCGAGUUCGGGUUCGAUCCCCGACGUCCGCCCCA